rnacentral:rRNA from 1 species
AUUGGACGCUGGCGGCAUGCCUUACACAUGCAAGUCGAACGGCAACAGGUCUUCGGAUGCUGACGAGUGGCGAACGGGUGAGUAAUACAUCGGAACGUGCCUAGUAGUGGGGGAUAACUACUCGAAAGAGUGGCUAAUACCGCAUGACAUCUACGGAUGAAAGUAGGGGAUCGCAAGACCUUUUCCUACUAAAGCGGCCGAAGGCAGAUUAGGGUGUUGGUGGGAUAACAGCUUACCAAGCCGACGAUCUGUAGCUGGGCUGUGAGGACGGUCAGCCACACUGGGACUGAGACACGGCCCAGACUCCUACGGGAGGCAGCAGUGGGGAAUUUUGGACAAUGGGCGAAAGCCUGAUCCAGCAAUGCCGCGUGCAGGAUGAAGGCCUUCGGGUUGUAAACUGCUUUUGUACGGAACGAAAAGCUCUGGGUUAAUACCCUGGGGUCAUGACGGUACCGUAAGAAUAAGCACCGGCUAACUACGUGCCAGCCGCCGCGGUAAGAC